rnacentral:rRNA from 1 species
GGGGGAUAGUCCAUGGAAACAUGGGGGUAAUACCGGAUGAGACCGGAGCCGCACAAGCGGCACCGAGGAAAGGCGCCAAGGCGCCGCCGGGGGAUGAGUCCGCGGUCCAUUAGCUGGUUGCGGGGUAACGGCCCACCAAGGCGACGAUGGAUAGCCGGCCUGAGAGGGCGACCGGCCACAUUGGGACUGAGACACGGCCCAGACUCCUACGGGAGGCAGCAGCUAAGAAUCUUCCGCAAUGGACGAAAGUCUGACGGAGCGAACCGCCGCGUGAACGAUGAAGGCCGUAAGGUUGUAAAGUUCUUUUCCGGGGGAGGAAUAAGGAUGGCAGGGAAUGGCCGUCCGAUGACGUGAACCCGGGAAUAAGCCCCGGCUAACUACGUGCCAGCAGCUGC